GAUGAACGCUGGCGGCGUGCCUAAUACAUGCAAGUCGAGCGAACGGACGAGAAGCUUGCUUCUCUGAUGUUAGCGGCGGACGGGUGAGUAACACGUGGAUAACCUACCUAUAAGACUGGGAUAACUUCGGGAAACCGGAGCUAAUACCGGAUAAUAUUUUGAACCGCAUGGUUCAAAAGUGAAAGACGGUCUUGCUGUCACUUAUAGAUGGAUCCGCGCUGCAUUAGCUAGUUGGUAAGGUAACGGCUUACCAAGGCAACGAUGCAUAGCCGACCUGAGAGGGUGAUCGGCCACACUGGAACUGAGACACGGUCCAGACUCCUACGGGAGGCAGCAGUAGGGAAUCUUCCGCAAUGGGCGAAAGCCUUACGAAGCAACGCCGCGUGAGUGAUGAAGGUCUUCGGAUCGUAAAACUCUGUUAUUAGGGAAGAACAUAUGUGUAAGUAACUGUGCACAUCUUGACGGUACCUAAUCAGAAAGCCACGGCUAACUACGUG
rnacentral:rRNA from 1 species